rnacentral:lncRNA from 1 species
AAUGAGACAUGAGCUUGAUAUUCUUGUCCAGAGAGGAACGAAAAAACAGAUUAAUUAAGCUGCAAGAACAAUUAGAUUAUCAAUAAUGGAACACAAACACAUUAUAUUCAACAACAGCAAAUGAGACAUGAGCUUAAUAUUUUUGUCCAGAGAGGAAAAAAAAACAAACAGACUGAUUAAGCUGCAAGAACAAUUAGAUCAAUAAUGCAGUACAAACACAUUGUAUUCAACAACAGCAUCUCCGGUUGUGGCAUUGAACGUGAGAGUCUUGGCCUGAACAUAACCCCGAGCAAACCGAAAAAGUCCACUUCCACCGAUUAUAGGCAUCUCUCUUACAGCUUCAACCACAGCGUUUCGUCCC